ACACAUGCAAGUCGAACGAAGCUUGACGGAUGAUUUCUUCGGAAUGAAACCUGAUAUGACUUAGUGGCGGACGGGUGAGUAACACGUGAGCAACCUGCCUUUCAGAGGGGGAUAACGGCUGGAAACGGUCGCUAAUACCGCAUGACGUGUUCGGAUGGCAUCAUCUGAACAUCAAAGAUUUAUCGCUGAAAGAUGGGCUCGCGUCUGAUUAGAUAGUUGGUGGGGUAACGGCCUACCAAGUCGACGAUCAGUAGCCGGACUGAGAGGUUGAACGGCCACAUUGGGACUGAGAUACGGCCCAGACUCCUACGGGAGGCAGCAGUGGGGAAUAUUGCACAAUGGGGGAAACCCUGAUGCAGCAACGCCGCGUGAAGGAUGACGGUUUUCGGAUUGUAAACUUCUUUUCUUAGUGACGAAGACAGUGACGGUAGCUAAGGAAUAAGCAUCGGCUAACUACGUGCCAGCAGCCGCGGUAAUACGUAGGAUGCAAGCGUUAUCCGGAUUUACUGGGUGUAAAGGGAGCGCAGGCGGGACUGCAAGUUGGAUGUGAAAUACCGUGGCUUAACCACGGAACUGCAUCCAAAACUGUAGUUCUUGAGUGAAGUAGAGGCAAGCGGAAUUCCGAGUGUAGCGGUGAAAUGCGUAGAUAUUCGGAGGAACACCAGUGGCGAAGGCGGCUUGCUGGGCUUUAACUGACGCUGAGGCUCGAAAGUGUGGGGAGCAAACAGGAUUAGAUACCCUGGUAGUCCACACUGUAAACGAUGAUAGCUAGG
rnacentral:rRNA from 1 species